ACUGCUCAGUAACACGUGGACAACCUGCCCUUAGGACGGGGAUAAACCCGGGAAACUGGGUAUAAUACCCGAUAGGUCUCGAUUGCUGGAAUGCAUCGAGAUUUAAAGCUCCGGCGCCUAAGGAUGGGUCUGCGGCCUAUCAGGUAGUAGUGGGUGUAGCGUACCUACUAGCCUACGACGGGUACGGGCUGUGAGAGCAAGAGCCCGGAGAUGGAUUCUGAGACACGAAUCCAGGCCCUACGGGGUGCAGCAGGCGCGAAAACUUUACAAUGCUGGCAACAGCGAUAAGGGAACCUCGAGUGCCAGGUUACAAAUCUGGCUGUCGAGAUGCCUAAAAAGCAUUUCAUAGCAAGGGCCGGGCAAGACCGGUGCCAGCCGCCGCGGUAACACCGGCGGCUCGAGUGGUAACCGUUAUUAUUGGGUCUAAAGGGUCUGUAGCCGGCCGGAUAAGUCUCUUGAGAAAUCUGGCAGCUUAACUGUCAGGCUUUCAGGAGAUACUGUCUGGCUCGAGGCCGGGAGAGGUGAGAGGUACUUCAGGGGUAGGGGUGAAAUCUUGUAAUCCUUGAAGGACCACCAGUGGCGAAGGCGUCUCACCAGAACGGACCUGACGGCAAGGGACGAAAGCUAGGGGCACGAACCGGAUUAGAUACCCGGGUAGUCCUAGCCGUAAACGAUACUCGCUAGGUGUCGGCCACGGUGCGACCGUUGUCGGUGCCGUAGGAAGCCGUGAAGCGAGCCACCUGGGAAGUACGGCCGCAAGGCUGAAACUUAAAGGAAUUGGCGGGGGAGCAC
rnacentral:rRNA from 1 species